AUUGAACGCUGGCGGAAUGCUUUACACAUGCAAGUCGAACAGCAGCACGGACUUCGGUCUGGUGGCGAGUGGCGAACGGGUGAGUAAUGUAUCGGAACGUGCCCAGUCGUGGGGGAUAACGUAGUGAAAAUUACGCUAAUACCGCAUACGAUCUAUGGAUGAAAGCGGGGGAUCGCAAGACCCCGCGCGAUUGGAGCGGCCGAUAUCAGAUUAGGUAGUUGGUGGGGUAAAGGCCCACCAAGCCAACGAUCUGUAGCUGGUCUGAGAGGACGACCAGCCAAACUGGAACUGAGACACGGUCCAAACUCCUACGGGAGGCAGCAGUGGGGAAUUUUGGACAAUGGGCGAAAGCCUGAUCCUGCCAUUCCGCGUGCAGGAUGAAGGCCCUCGGGUUGUAAACUGCUUUUGUACAGAACGAAAAGGUUUCUACUAAUACUAGGAGCUCAUGACGGUACUGUAAGAAUAAGCACCGGCUAACUACGUGCCAGCAGCCGCAGUAA
rnacentral:rRNA from 1 species